UUUAAAGGAUAACAGCAAUCCAUUGGUAUU
rnacentral:tRNA from 1 species